rnacentral:rRNA from 1 species
UACGAAGGGGGCUAGCGUUGCUCGGAAUUACUGGGCGUAAAGGGCGCGUAGGCGGGCGUUUAAGUCAGAGGUCAAAUCCCGGGGCUCAACCUCGGAACUGCCUUUGAUACUGGACGCCUAGAGUAUGGGAGAGGUGAGUGGAACUCCGAGUGUAGAGGUGAAAUUCGUAGAUAUUCGGAAGAACACCAGUGGCGAAGGCGACUCACUGGCCCAUUACUGACGCUGAGGCGCGAAAGCGUGGGGAGCAAACAGG